GACGAACGCUGGCGGCGUGCUUAACACAUGCAAGUCGAACGGGCCUUGUCCCCUUUUUUUUGGGGGUGGGGUUAGUGGCGAACGGGUGAGUAACACGUGAGUAACCUGCCCCUCACUUCUGGAUAACCGCUUGAAAGGGUGGCUAAUACGGGGUGUUCUGGCCUGCUCGCAUGGGUGGGUUUGGAAAGAUUCGACCGGUUUUGGUUGUUUUGGUGGGGGAUGGGCUCGCGGCCUAUCAGCUUGUUGGUGGGGUGAUGGCCUGCCAAGGCUUUGACGGGUAGCCGGCCGGAGGGGGUGGGGGGUCACACGGGGCUUGAGACACGGCCCAGACUCCUACGGGAGGCAGCGGUGGGGAAUAUGGCACGGUGGGGGCAAGCCUGAGGCGGGCGCCCCGCGUGGGGGGUGGGGCCCUUCGGGUUGGAAACCCCUUUCCCCAGUUAAAAAGGCCCUGCCUUUUGGGGUGGGGUUGAGGGUAGUGGGUUUAAUGGAGGCCCGGCUAAUUACGU
rnacentral:rRNA from 1 species